AAAUCCCUUCCUGCUCUGUAAAAGGAUACCGAUUAUUGACCAAAAGUGUUACGCCAUGUCGAACGUAAUGUAUACUAUCUGUGUUGCACAAUGAGCUUUAUGCCAGUGUAUCAAC
ensembl:ncRNA T27F7.5 ncRNA